GCCACAGCUUCCCCUUACCCUACUGCAGCCUCCGUCUGGCACUUGCGUUUGUCAUCAUCAGAAGGCUUGUUUGCCUCCUCCAGGGAAAGUGUACUGAAGGUCUGAUCUAGUGGCUGCUGAAUAUCCAACACGGAGAAUAACACCAGGUACAAAUUAGUGCCUCAGUGACAGUGACCCACGGGGUCCUCAGUUUCAGCGAAGGAGGUUCCACACUGCAGCAUCCGACUGUUUCAGGCAAUCCCAGGCGGAUGCCACUCUGUGCUCAACAAAUGGGCUUUGAAAGAAAGGAAGCAACGGAAUGGCAGUGAAGAACCUCCUGCAGAUUGCAGUUAUUUACCUUGACAGUCCUUCAGUCCAGAGUGGAUGUGGAACUUCAUAAUCAGUCUGUAGGCUAUGAAAGUUAGAGGAAAAUUGAGAUGAAGAAACGGGGUUAAGCUGCCCCAGGGGAUGGCUUGUCUGAAGACCACUUUCCAGGCAGGGGACUGCAGAUAGAGCACACCGUAAUGACUACUGCUUGUCAAAGGAUCUGAUGUGUGUUUUGCAGAAUAAAACAGCUCGUAUUUUCAGCACUUGAUAAACCGUUCUCCAGGGAAAUGAAUGAAGGCUGCACACCGCUGUCUCUGCCGCCUAAACACACACUUGUUUGAAGCAAAGGCAGCAAAAACACAAGGCAGAACAAACCCCCUGCUGCCGCUGCUUGCCGCUUACAUUUUCUUUCUGUAGCAUGUUUUCUUGUCUCGGCAGAAAACAAGUUCAGGAAAUACAGAGGAGGAAAUAUUCCAGCCUGAAAAUGGAUUUGGGCUUGGCGAAACUGAAUGAGGCGAAACGUGGAAGGUCACCCGUUUAGUCAAGUUUAGGGGUUCCGCCAGAUGAGCCUGGUCAGAUUCCAGAUGGCUCAAGAGAAGCCUGUGUCGGUCCCACUGAGGAAUUAGCCCAGACAAAUCCAAAGAAGAUCCACAGGCAAAUAAAAACUGGCACACAUUCUAAAUUAAUUCAC